rnacentral:rRNA from 1 species
AUUCCAGCUCCAAUAGCGUAUAUUAAAGUUGUUGCAGUUAAAAAGCUCGUAGUUGGAUUUCUGACAGGGGGCCGAACACCACUGUAGUGAGUGUUUUGGUACCUGUCAUCCUUCUGUUAACCCUAGCGUCAUUCAUUUGUCGUUGGGCGGACCAGAUACUUUACCUUGAGAAAAUUAGAGUGUUUCAGGCAGGCCUAGCCGGAAUACAUUAGCAUGGAAUAAUGGAAUAGGACUAUAGUCUCGUCGUUGGUUACGUGGACUGCAGUAAUGAUUAACAGGGACAGUCAGGGGCACUCGUAUUCCGCCGAGAGAGGUGAAAUUCUCAGACCAGCGGAAGACGAACCACUGCGAAAGCAUAUGCCAGGGAUGUUUUCAUUA